GACGAACGCUGGCGGCGUGCUUAACACAUGCAAGUCACGGGGGGUAGCAAUACCAACCGGCGAACGGGUGCGUAACACGUGAGCAACCUACCGAUUUGUGGGGGAUAGCCGUCCUAACGGGCGGGUAAUACCGCAUACGCUUUCCGGGAGACAUCUCCUGGUAAGGAAACCUCCGGGGCAAAUCGAGGGGCUCGCGGCCUAUCAGCUAGUUGGUGCGGUCACGGCGCACCAAGGCGACGACGGGUAGCUGGCUGAGAGGAUGGCCAGCCACA
rnacentral:rRNA from 1 species